UGUUUCUGCUAUCCCACAGGAUUGGUACAUCAUAAUAAUUGAUAUUCGAGAUUGUUUUUUCAGCAUCCCUCUUGCCCUGGAAGACCGGAAAAGGUUUGCCUUUACCCUACCUGCAAUCAAUUUGGAGGAGCCAGCAACACGCUGGCAAUGGACAGUCCUGCCACAAGGACUGGAUUGUCGGACACCCUCGCAACCCGUACGUCCCAGUGACGAAUGAAGAUGACAAGGAAGAGGAUCAGACCUGAUGCUUCUACAGCAAGGGGGAGUGUGCGCUGCACUAGAGGAAGGGUGUUGUGUAUAUGCAGACCACACCAGAAUAGUAAAAGACACUAUGACCAAAUUGCAGAAAGGUCUGGAAAAAACGAAGGAGGGAACGAGAGGCACAGCAAAGUUGGUUUACGUCAUGGUUCAACCAUUCACCAUGGCUGACCACUCUGAUAUCUACCUAAUGGGACCAAUCACAAUGAUUGUAAUAGCAGUGAUUUUGGGA